rnacentral:rRNA from 1 species
UAACCUCAAAUUAGGUGAGACUACCCGCUAAAUUUAAGCAUAUUAUUAAGCGGAGGAAAAGAAACUAACAAGGAUUUCCAUAGUAGCUGCGAGCGAACUGGAAAAAGCCCAGCACUGAAUUAUUAGUAUUUAAUACUAAUAAAAUGUAGUGUUUAAGAAGGUUUUAUUAUAUUCUAAAGCAACUUUAUUUGUUCAAGUUUAUCUUGAAUGGGGCCAAGGUCCAUAGAGGGUGCCAGGCCUGUAGUAGCAAAUAAGUGUUUUAGAAAAACCUUUCUUUAGAGUGCAACCUUAAGUAGGUGGUAAGCUCCAUCUAAGGCUAAAUAUAACCACGAGACCGAUAGCAAACAAGUACCGUGAGGGAAAGUUGAAAAGAACUUUGAAGAGAGAGUUCAAAAGUACGUGAAACCGUUUAGGGGUUAAACGGAAAAGAGCUGAAAAUCCGAAAAGGGAGAUUCACGUCUUCUCGUAUGUUAAACAUUAUAAUGUUAAAGAUAAUUAAUGGCCUUUACAAUUUUUAUUGUAUAUGUGCUAUUAAUUGCUUUAACUUAUUUUUGUAUAGCAACGGUGGACCGCACUUCUCUCUAAGUAGGACGUCGCAACCCGCUAAUUUAUAAUCUUAUGUUUAAAUUAUUAAAGUCUUAUUAUAUGCUAAUUUUUAUAUUUUAUAUAAAUUUUUAGUUUAUAUAAUAAGGUUAAUUUAAAUCUGAUUAAAUAAUUGGCGGUAAAAAACUAUAGUAGUAAGUCGCUUAUAAAGCGUUUAACAUUCUUUAUAAUUUUUAAUACAAUUAAAUUUUAAAACUUUUAUAGUUUUGAUUUAAUUGUUUAAUUAUUAAAAAUUAUAUUAGUAUUGUUUAAACUGUACUUACAAUACUAGUUAGCGGCGCUACAGUUUCAGUAACUUUUCCGACCCGUCGAAACACCCAAGGAGUCUAACAUGUGCGCAAGUCAUUGGGUUAUAUAAAACCUAAAGGCGUAACGAAAGUAAAGAAAGCUUUGCUUUAUUAGGGAGGAUAAUUUAUUAAAAUUAUAUUAAUAAAUUCGCACUCCCGGGGCGUCUGUUACUUAUUAUAAGUGAAGGCGCACCUAGAGCGUACCCGUUGGGUCCCGAAAGAUGGUGAACUAUGCCUAGCCAGGAUGAAGCCAGGGGAAACCCUGGUGGAGGUCCGUAGCGAUUCUGACGUGCAAAUCGAUCGUUAGAGCUAGGUAUAGCGGCGAAAGACUUAUCGAACCAUCUAGUAGCUGGUUCCCUCCGAAGUUUCCCUCAGGAUAGCUGGUGCCAAUGAUGAUACGAGUCUCAUCUGGUAAAGCGAAUGAUUAGAGGCCUUGGGGCCGAAACGACCUCAACCUAUUCUCAAACUUUAAAUGGAUGAGAGCUUUGACUUGCUUAAAAAGUGAAGUCAAAGACCUUGGAUCGAGGUGCCAAGUGGGCCAAUUUUGGUAAUGUGGGAUGAACCAAACGCAAAGUUAAGGCGCCCGAAUUGACGCUCAUGAGACACCAUAAAAGGCGUUUGUUGCUUAAGACAGCAGGACGGUGGCCAUGGAAGUCGGAAUCCGCUAAGGAGUGUGUAACAACUCACCUGCCGAAGCAACUAGCCCUGAAAAUGGAUGGCGCUGUAGCGUUGUGCCUAUACUUUGCCGUCAACGGCAAAUAUAAAUUUAAAUGUAAAAAAAUUUUAAUUUUUUUCUUUUAAAAUUUAUAUUAAGUCUUGACGAGUAGGAGGGUCGCAGCGAUGAGCGCAGAAGGGUCUGGGCGUAAGCCUGCCUGGAGCCGUCGCUGGUGCAGAUCUUGGUGGUAGUAGCAAAUACUCCAGCGAGGCCCUGGAGGGCUGUUGUGGAGAAGGGUUUCUUGUGAACAGCUGUUGCACAAGAGUCAGUCGAUCCUAAGCUCUAGGAGAAAUCCCAUGUUGAUGGGAUGCCAUUAAUUAAAAAAAAUUUUUAAUUGUUGGUAUCCAAUGAGCGAAAGGGAAUCCGGUUCCUAUUCCGGAACCCGGCAGCGGAACCGUUCCAAAUCGAGCCCUCAUAUGAUGACUCGUCGGGGUAACCCAAAUGGACCCGGAGACGCCGUUGGAAGGUUCAGGGAGAGUUGUCUCUUCUCUAUAAGCGUUCGAGUUCCCUGGAAUCCUUCAGUAGGGAGAUAGGGUUUGGAACGCGAAGAGCACUGCAGUUACGGCAGUGUCUGAAUCUUUCCUUCGGACCAUGAAAAUCCGGGAGAGGGCUACGAGGAACCCCGCGCCGGAUCGUACCCAUAUCCGCAGCAGGUCUCCAAGGUGAAUAGCCUCUAGUCGAUAGAAUAAUGUAGGUAAGGGAAGUCGGCAAGUUCGAUCCGUAACUUCGGGAUAAGGAUUGGCUCUGAGGAUCGUGGCGUGCCGGGCUUGGUCGGGAAGUGGAUCGGUGUCAACGAGCCGGGCCUGGGCAAAGGUAAACCAUUCAUUCAUUUAAUAUGUUUGUUUGACUUUAUCUAAGCUCGGUCCCGUGCCUUGGCCAGCCACGGAUCUUCCUU